AACUUUUAGCAAUGGAUCUCUUUGCUCUCGCAUCGAUGAAGAACGCAGCGAAAUGCGAUAAGUAAUGUGAAUUGCAGAAUUCAGUUAAUCAUCGAAUCUUUGAACGCACCUUGCGCUCCUUGGUAUUCCGAGGAGCAUGCCUGUUUGAGUGUCAUUAAUAUAUAUAUCAACCUUCUCUUGUUGAGUGGUUUGGAUAUGGGGGUUUGCUGGCCUUGUAAAAGGGUUCAGCUCCCCUGAAAUGCAUUAGCAGAACAACCUGUUCAUUGGUGUGAUAACUAUCUACGCUAUUGAAUUUAAGGGGCAGUUCAGCUUUCUAGCAGUCCUCGGACAAUUUAUCAUUUAUGUGACCUCAAAUCAGGUAGGACUACCCGCUGAACUUAAGCAUAUCAAUAAGCGGAGGCU
rnacentral:misc_RNA from 1 species